rnacentral:lncRNA from 1 species
GCCUUGCCAUUUUUAGUUGGCACUUGUCUUGAUUGUUGUUUUGACCCACUUGUCUGCAUUUUUAGCCUGCAUCACUUGUGGCGGCAUGGAAAAUUUCACAUCAUUUUAUAAUAUCUUCGAUUGUUUUGGUGAUAGUUACAAAAGUCUGUUUUUGGUGUUGGAAUUGGAAGUUAACUUUUUCUUACAGAUUAAGUCAAGCUCUUUAAAUCCCUCAAUUUAAUUUUUGAUGUGUUAUUUAAAUUUUUAUGUUGACAUGUUUGUGUCGUUUUUGCUAGUGGAAAGGACAGAGAGUUUCCUAUUGAACCUGAAUUAACUCUGGAGUUGAUGAUGGCUGCCAAUUACCUACAUACUUGAGCAGAUUGACUNNNNNNNNNNNNNNNNNNNNNNNNNNNNNNNAGUUCUAUUCGUUAUUGUUGUAGGUUUUUGUUAUUAUUUCUUUGAUUCUGACAGUCUGUAAUGUUUAACUUGCACAGAAGAAAAUGUUUGCUUUGUUGGGCUAUGGAAGUAUAAGCUACUGCUGUGUUGACCGUGUAAACUGUAUACUUGCAGCAACUAUAAUAUACAUAUAAUCUGUGUAAUCAAAUGAUAGUUAAAUUCAACUAGAAUAUACAUAUAAUCUGUUUGGCUAGUUGGUUCUGUCAGUUGGUCAUACUUUGCCUAAUUCAAAGUGAAGAUUGAGUAUGUAGCUAAUAAUUUGUCAAAUCUUUUUAGUGAUAUACUCCCUCCGUCCCAUAUUAUAAGAAAAAAAAAUCACUUUUUCAUGUCCCAAAUUAUAAGCAAAAAAAACUAACUUUUAUCAUUUUCAAGAUAAACUUUUACUUAAUUUACUCUCUCUCUUCUUUUUCCCAUAAUCAAUAACUAAUAAAAACUGUUUUUACAUCUUCCCAUGAAACUUAUUUCAACAAACACACAAAAAGUCAACCUUGAAAUUAUCAUAUUUUACUUUUCUUAAUAAGUGUGAA